UUGAAUUAGACGGGAAACGAGCUGGUUUCUACAAGUGCUCUUUCCCUGAUUCUUUAACCAUACACCUGUGAACUUGGGGAGACUCUUAGUUGAGACUCUCCUUAUUAUUAACAAACUCUUUAAUAAACUAUUGAACGUGAUUGUGCCGAAAGGCCUUAAUUUUAUAAA
rnacentral:misc_RNA from 1 species